AGUUGGUGUCGGGGCAUAUGUAGAAAUUUCGUAUUUCUAGUAAGCUUGCACAAACCCCACUCCUCACACGCACGCACACACACACACACACACACACACAUACACACGAACGCACAUUUAAAGACUGGGUCCGCACCAGAAAAAAAAAUCUUGUAUUGAUUAAAAGCAGAUAAAUCAGACGAAAAACAAAACAAUUAAAACAAAACCAAAAACGUUGAAGUAAAUCGGACAAUAAAUAAGAAAGUUAUCAUGAAUAUAACGCAAAAGUUAUUUAUCAUGCUAACUGGCAACGCUGGGUCACGUGGCAUGAAGUAUGCCAUGCACUUCUCUGCAGCUCUUCCAGAACCGAGGAAACCAUCUCAUUACUACGUCGGGAGGGUGGGGUCGAAGCAGUGGACUGCUGAGAAGACGUUGGUAUCGGUACAGGCACAGCUGAAGGCGCGGCUGGCAUCCCAACAUUGUUGAAGGAUGGACUUGCUGGAGACCAUUGAUUGAAAUUGGACCAAUGACUAUUGAUUGGCCACUGGUUUGACUGCCAUGACGAGGGUUGCUGUUGACAUGGUUGAGUUGGCCUGGUUGGCUGUUCGAAAUUGUGAACGAGUUGCAGACAUUCAAUUUGGAAACUGUGCCACGAUUGCUCUGGAAUUUUCUGCAUAUGGCCCUCCAGAAGACAGGCAAAAUCAUGGACGAUCUUUUUUUGACCUGUCAAAGCAGCUGUCUGGCCCAAAUUAUCCGCUCUUGAAAGAACCUGAAAGGCAUAAACAAUAUAACCAAAUGUAAUUUAGUAAGGCAAUUAAAGUCAGGGUCUGAUUACUGUCAUUUACUGCCAUAUACUCAACAAAUUUAGAUCGAUUGUCGAAGAAUUAAUUUUCAAAGAUACUUUUUGUUGUGAAUUAAUUUCUAUAGUUUCCAAAUGGAACUAUUGAAAGCGGAUCCGGCUUAGGUAAUGUAUUCAAUUGUUUAAAAAAAAAUA